ACGAACGCUGGCGGCGUGCCUAAUACAUGCAAGUCGAACGCUUCUUUCCUCCCGAGUGCUUGCACUCAAUUGGAAAGAGGAGUGGCGGACGGGUGAGUAACACGUGGGUAACCUACCCAUCAGAGGGGGAUAACACUUGGAAACAGGUGCUAAUACCGCAUAACAGUUUAUGCCGCAUGGCAUAAGAGUGAAAGGCGCUUUCGGGUGUCGCUGAUGGAUGGACCCGCGGUGCAUUAGCUAGUUGGUGAGGUAACGGCUCACCAAGGCCACGAUGCAUAGCCGACCGGAGAGGGUGAUCGGCCACACUGGGACUGAGACACGGCCCAGACUCCUACGGGAGGCAGCAGUAGGGAAUCUUCGGCAAUGGACGAAAGUCUGACCGAGCAACGCCGCGUGAGUGAAGAAGGUUUUCGGAUCGUAAAACUCUGUUGUUAGAGAAGAACAAGGACGUUAGUAACUGAACGUCCCCUGACGGUAUCUAACCAGAAAGACACGGCUAACUACGUG
rnacentral:rRNA from 1 species